AAUCAUAAACAAUCAUAAGGGUCCUGUAGCUCAGUUGGUUAAAGUGUUGGUCUUAUGAGUCGAAAGUCUCGUUCAAGCUCUCUUACCACUAUACCAUCUUCAAUUUUUUUUUUAACGGCGUCGCAUGGAAUGAAUGCUACAGAUCGUACGGAUUUCGUAUUCCAGAUGAUGACGUAUUUGAUCGGAGUCAAAGGCGAACUAAACCAGUCAAUUUGGUCAAAGCCCCAUGCGUUGAUAGGACUCGAACCCGACAUAUGAGGCUAAAGCUUGUCAAGUAAUGAUUUAGAGGUGAAGUCAAUUGCUUCUUCGACAAACCAAGAUUUGAUUGGGUGGUUGGUGUUCAAAAUUUGAGUUUUUUGAAUUGCCAUGAUGACGAGUUGCUCAAAGUUGCAACAUGCCCAAUUGAUAUUGCAUUGACUAUCAAGAUCAACCCAAGCACUUGACCUUAGUGAACAAUUUGUUUUGAAGUACUUGCCUAAGUAUGCCAUAGAGAAAGCUUAGGAAGAGGAUAGCAAGAAGACGAAGGAAGAAAAGGAAAGAAAAAAAAAUGGAAGGAAGAGCUCACCCCACAAAAAAGAUAAGUAGGAGAUGCUACAAAGUGAGAUGAGACAAGAGAAAGCUUUGGAAGAGGAGGAGAACUAAAAGAAGAAGAAGAAAGAAAUAAAAAAUGAGGAAAGGAGAGCUCCCCCAACAAGGAAGAGUUACUGUAGUCUUGGGACUUUACUUGGAAGGCAUCCAAGGCCUCUAAAGGCACUUAUAGAGUGAGAGAUAAGACGAGGAAGCAACAACAUAGCAGAGGAAAUCUUUGUCAUGCAUAUGUUUUAAACAAUUUAAUUAAUAUUGAAUCUUGUUAUUAGAUGCCAUCAAUGCUAAACACAUUUGUUUUAUUUAA